rnacentral:rRNA from 1 species
GGGUGCGAUCAUACCAGCACUAAUGCACCGGAUCCCAUUAGAACUCCGCAGUUAAGCGUGCUUGGGCGAGAGUAGUACUAGGAUGGGUGACCUCUUGGGAAGUCCUCGUGUUGCACCCU